AAUCAUUGACGCAUUUCAUCUCUCUCUCUCUCUCAACUCGUCAAUCUCACUUCUCCCUCUCUCAAACCCUUCACGAAAACACCACAGACCUCAUCGCCUCUCUCUCUCUCUCUCUCUCUCUCUCUCUCUCUCUCUCUCUCUCUCUCUCUCUCUUUCUCUCUCUCACCCCCAACAUUGCUGCCUCUCUCUCUCAAGCAACGUCACCGCCUCUCGCAGUCACUCAUCAUCGUCGCCACUCUCAAUCUCUCAGUCCACCUCGCCGCCUCAUCUCAGUCUCUCUUUGUGUCAUCUCUUCCUUUCAGCGAGACACUCAUCAACCUCGCCGCCUCUCUCAAUUGCUCAUCAUCGUCUCUGCAUCGUUAUUUCCUCCUUUUUAGGUCAAUUUUUUACCCAAUUUUUGAAAUUGAACUUUGAAACUUUGAACUUCGAAUUGGGGUUUAAUUUAGCAAUUAUGUUUUGUUCAUUAUGUUUAUAAAUAAUUUGUUAAUUAUGUUUAGGAUAUGUGUUGGGGUUAAUUAAAUUGUGAAUUGAUUGGUGCUAAGGGUUUAGGGUUAUUAUGAAUUGAUUGGAUAUGUUUUAAAAUGUGAGUUGAAUAGAUUCUGUUUUUAAAGUAUAAUUUGAUUAUGUCGGGCUAUUUUUGAGUUUAAUUUGACGGAGUUUAGGCUGUUUAGGGUUAAUUAAAUAGUUCAAUUGAAUUGAUUUUGUUUUGGACAUUUAAUUUGAUUGUGUUUACAUUGUUUAGGCUGAUUUUGAGGGUUUCAAUUAGGGCUUCGAAUUGGGAAUGGAAUUGGGAAUUGGGAAUUAUGAUUUUCAAUUGAUUUGGCUUUUUUUUUUUUAGUUUAAUUUUUAGGUUUGUGUUUUAAUAUAUUAAUAUGCUUCUAUGUUCUUCUUCCUGUUGUGUUGUGUUUCAUAGAUGAAGUCUAGUCACUCUAACACACCUAAUGCCUCAAAUACCCAAACACAAACCAAAACAGCGCAAACACAACCUCCAACUCAAACACAACAUCCCACACACGGGGGAUUAUCAUGGGAGAUAAGAGGAAAGCCCUAAAAUCAAAUGUGUGAUUACAUUGCACAAAACAAAUAAAGAAUGAUGCUAAUGGGGUAGAGAAGAUUAUAGGGGUUUGCAAUUAUUGCAAAUUAGAGAUAUCGACAGACCCUAAAAAAAUGAGACAACGGGUUUAAAAACUCACAUAGGGAGGAGAUGCAAGCUCUCUCCUCUCAAUCAACAAGGUGAUGCAAAUCAACCUACCAAUGGGUAGAAGAUUGGUCCCCCAUACAUUUAAUCAAGGGAUUUUUGUAGAAAUGUCACCUGAACUUAUAUAUCAGUUUCAAAUUGUCAACUUAAAGAAAAUUUUAAGCAAAAUGUCACCGUAAGUUUUCAAAAUCCAUGAUUUUUCACCUGAUUUAACAUUAUCCAAUUUUUCAUCCAUUUUGAAGGGUAUUUUAAUCUUUCCAAGCAAGAGGGUUUACUAGCUUUAUAUUUAAAUUAUAUAAACUCUAAACCCUGUACCAGUCCAGGCCCCCUAGAACCAGCCAGAACUUUCACCUUCACCUAUUCCACAACUAGUAGCCCCACGCAAUCAGCCCUUGGCACUUUUUCCUGAGCAACCAGCUAUGUUGCCCUAUAGACCUAGAAGGAUGGACCCCAAUCCAUUCCCUCCGCUAGCAAGAGGCAGGAGAGGUAGAGGGGGAAUCAACCUCUUUGCCAACAAUAACAGGAACAGACCGGGGGCAAACUGGAGGAAUCAUCUAGAUUUCGAAGAAGAGGAAGAACAUAGAGAGGAAGUUAUGCCCAGACCAUACAGAGUGGAACAGAGGAUUGAACACAACCAGCCAGAACAGGGGUGCCUGUCAAUGCCUUGAAUGACAUGGGGGCACUACAGAGGAUGAAAGGCCCACUUACAGAAAAAUAUAUCCAGCUUAUAUUGAUCAAAUACCUAUAUCCCCAGGCUUUAAGGUACCAAACUUCAUCUUGUUCAACAGAGAGGACAUUCAUGUUUCAUCAGUUGAGCAUAUAGGCAGAUUUUCUAUCAAGUGCGUAGCCAUAGAAAAUAACCCUCUAUUAAAACUAAGGCUUUUUGGAAACUAUUUCUCUAGACAAGCCUUGACCUGGUAUCCUAGCUUACCAGCCAAUUCUGUUCAAACUUGGGAACAGAUGGAAAAUGUCUUCCAUGACUACUAUUUCAGAAUUCAGUCAGAAGUCACCAUCAGUGAUCUUACUACACUCAAACAGAGUGAAGAUGGGCCUGACCAAGACUUCAUAACCAGGUUCAGAAAGCUCAAAAUGAAAUGCUGAAUCCAUAUGGAAGAAAUGCACUUCAUUCAAAUGGCUCAAACCGCCCUUAAAAUCUCUUUGAGGAAGAGAUUUGAUGGGAUGUUGUUUGGAGACCUGGCAGAACUGGCAGACAAAGUAUCUAAAUACGAGGAGCUGCUCAGAGAAGAGCAACAAAAGAGGAACUCCUCCAAAGGCACAUAUUACAAAACCCCAUCUUCUUCGGUGCAUCUGGUUGAGGUCGAAUCAGAAGAAGGCACAGAAAGCUCGGAAGAAAAGGAAGUUGUAGUGGUAGAAAUGGCAAAGUUAAAGCAUCCCAUCAGUUGUAAGGCUCUGACAAAGGCACCAAAGGACUAGAAGCCGCCACCAUUUACAAGAGGGUUUGUUCCAAACAAACUAGCGCAGAACAAAGUUUAUUCCUUCGAUUUAACCAAGGUUGAUGCUCUGUUUGAUGAGAUGCUACUGCAGAAGGCAAUAGAGACACCCCACAGGUUGCCCAAGCCAUAGGAACUGAAGGGCAGAAAAUAUUGCAGAUGGAACCACUCUUGGAACCAUUCCACCAAUAGUUGUGUUGUUUUCAAGGACGUCAUACAAGAAGGGAUAAUAGUAGGAAGGUUGAAACUGGCUGAGAAACCUCCCUGAGUAACAAUAGAACCUUUCCCCAACCUCAAGUCAACAUGGUCAACUUAAAUUGGCCAGAAUAGAAGAGAGGCAAACCAACAGUAGAAGCUACUCCCAGCAUAGGCAGAAAAGUCACAAUAGAGUCUAAUCAGAGACCAAAAGCAACCAUUCGGUUGGGGUAGUUCUGUGCAGCAGGUGUAAAUGUGAAAGUGAGUUAGAGAUAACUCUGAAUGGGCAAAAUCAGCCCACAACCAGUGUUUUUAACAGAAUUGAAACAUCAUACAAUAGGGCCCAGUUUUGGCUCCGCUUAAAGACAUAGCCAGGAAGAAGGCCUAUCAAAGGUCUACCCAGCUCAACAGAAGAAUGACAGAGCAGCCAAAUAAGGAAAUACCAGUUAAGAUGCCCGGAAAUGAUAAACCCUUGGCAACAAUCAUAGAAGGCAGAUAGUAUUUUGUUGGAAAAAGCGGCAGACCAACUUUGGAGCUAACCAGAACACAUAAUAGGAGAGUUCAGAGGCAAUACUGCAUCUUCCUCAAGAACAAGGACAACACACAGGUACUUCCAGAUGGUAGUUCUGUCGAAAAAGGAAAAAAUCUAGAAGUAGAUUCUCAAGAAGAACAGACAACAUAUCAACCAAAAAAGCUGACAAAGACAAAGCAAAUCCUCUAUCCAUCCUACCUCACCUUCAGUCAAUCAGUUAGAACCUUCACAGUCACAAGGUCAAUCCAAACCUAUUCCAAUAGAAGGACGAGAGUAUUAGAUUGAAGAAUAUGAAGAUGAGCAGUUGGAUUACGAACCAGUUACAGAUGACCAGACUGGACUCCUUAAAACAGGUGAGCAAGAAGAUUGGACAAAAGAAUAUGGAGAAGAAGAGAUGGAGUAUGAGGGAGAACUAAAUGAAGAAACUGAGGCUUUCGGUGCAGAGUUAGAGAGCCUGUUAUAGGGUGAUCUAGGCAUUAAUAUGGUGUUUAUCAGGCCAUAAAAGUUCAGGGCAGCAGAAGGACAAGAGAGCACUUUGGAAGGAGAUAUGCUCUCCCAGAAAAGUUUUGAGUGGAGAUUAGUAGGAAUGGGAGAGGUGUCAGAACAGCAAACACCUACUGCCAAAGCAGGCAGAAAUGCCACAAAAUUGGCUGCAGAAUAGCUGUGCUUUUCCAAACCCACCAAGGAAAUGGCCAAUCAUCUUAGACCUUUGUUUAUAACAACAAACUUCGGGGGUAUUCCUAUCCCUAAAGUAUUGGUAGAUGGGGGUACAGCCAUUAAUCUUCCGCCUCACAGGUUGCUGAUCAAGAUGGGCAGAAUAAAGAAGGAUCUAAUUCCAACACGCUUAACGGUUACCAACUUCGUUGGGGGCAUCACCAAGACUCAUGGAAUACUAGAUGUGGACAUCAUAGUAGGAACUAAGAAGCUGAAGAUUGCAUUUUUCAUGGUGGACACCACUUUUACCACUUACAAUGCACUGCUUGGCAGAGACUGGAUCCACAGAGUCUGUUUGUUCCUUCCACUCUAUACCAGCAGUUGGCCCUCUGGCAUGAAGAAGGUUUUAUGGAAAUUGUGGAGGUCGAGCCACAUCCAUUCCUGCCAUCUGCAUUAUGUUUUUAGGCCAGGUCUUAUCAUGAUAACCUUGGUCCUUUCACUUUCUUUGGAGUUAACCAGAACGGCCAUCCCCAUGGUGUCACGACCCAUAAAAUCAUUGAAGAAGGUCUGGCUAGUUCUCUAGAGGACUGGAACAGGCCAUGCAUUCUCAACCUCCAGAGUUCUGAUGUUUAGCUCAAACCAUCAGAAAGGCUUCGAGCUGCAACAAUCUGAUCCAUUACAAAUAGAUUGUUGGUAUAUUAGGAAGAAAGGAAGCUUUCUAUGCAUAGUCCAGCCAUUAACAUGGCAGAAUUCAUGCAUGAAAGUAUAGAAGAACAUGAAGGAAAUCUGCAAGAGGAAGAAUUGGAAUUGGCACCAGCAGCAUUGGAUGAUUCCCUGCUAGAAGUAGACGAUCCUUUGCAAGAAAUAAACCUGGGGACAGAGGAGGAUCCCGGGCCUACUUUCAUCAGCACAUUACUAGAAGAGCCAGUAAAGAAUAAAAUCAUUGCACUUCUGCAUGAUUUCAAGGACUAUUUCGCAUGGCACUACCAUGAAAUGCUUGGACUAGAUAGAGCAUUAGUAGAGCACAAGUUACCAAUAAAAAAGGGAUACUUAACAGUCAAACAGGCCAGAAGAAGGAUGUCUAUGAAGACAGAACUAAAAGUCAAAGAAGAAGUGGAAAGGCUAGUUAAAGCAGGUUUUAUCAGGCCAACCAUUUAUGCUGAUUGGUGGUCAAAUAUUGUACCAGUUCUUAAAAGGAAAACAGGGGCAGUCAGAAUAUGUGUGGACUACAGAAAUCUCAAGAAAGCAUCUCCCAAGGACGAGUAUCCAAUGCCCAUGGCAGACAUGCUGGUAAACGGAGCUGCCCACAAUCAGAUGCUAUCAUUCAUGGAUGGCAAUACAGGAUACAAUCAAAUAAUGGUAGUAGAAGAAGACAUCCACAAGACAACCCCCAUGUGUCCAGGACAUAUAGGUGCUUUUGAAUACACUGUAAUGCUUUUUGGCUUGAGAAAUGCAGGAGCCACUUAUCAAAGAGCAAUGAAUUAUGUUUUUCAUGACAUGAUAGGUCAUUCUCUAGAGGUUUAUAUAGAUGAUGUGGUGAUUAAGUCCCCAAAAAAAGGAGAUCAUGUAUCAAACCUAAAAAAGGAAUUCUUAAGAAUGAGACAACACAAGUUAAAAAUGAAUCCCAAGAAAUGCGUUUUUGGAGUUCAAGCUGGCAAUUUCUUAGGCUUCUUGGUUCACCAAAAAGGAAUAGAAAUUGAUAAGAAAAAAGCAAAAUCUAUCUUGGAAGCUUUGCCACCUCAAAACAAGAAAGAAUUGCAGAGUCUCCUAGGAAAGAAUUUACUAGAAUUGCAGAGUCUCCUAGGAAAUAUUUACUUUCUAAGAAGAUUCAUAUCCAAUUCUGCUGUGAAAAUCCAGCCUUUCUCCUUCUAGUUAAGAUUUAAGCAGGAACAGUCAUUUAAGUGGGAAGAACAGCAUCAGCAGGCUUUUGAGGAAAUCAAACAUUACAUCUCAAAUUCACCAGUUCUGUCCCCACCAAAAAUAGGCAGACCACUCAAGCUGUAUGUUUCUGCAUCAGAAGUAUCCAUUGGGAGUUUUUUAGUUCAAGAUAACAAGGAGGGGAAGGAACAGGCAGUCUAUUACCUGAGCAGAACUCUUACAGAGGUAGAAAGGAAAUAUUCUGCAAUUGAAAGACUUUGUUUGGCUUUAUACUUUACUGUCUGAUCAAGUACAUGCUAACAAGGCCAAUGUUGAGAGGGAGAAUUGGUAAAUGGACUCUGGCCCUAUCAGAAUUUUCCUUCAGAUAUGUUCCUCAGAAGUCCAUCAAGGGACAAGCUGUUGCAGAUUUCUUGGCCGAUCAUCCUAGAGAAGAAAUUGAGAAUAUGGAUUCCAUGGAUAUAGCCAAUGUAGACCUACUAACCAGUGCUCACACUUGUCCCAAUAAUCCCAUUUACUCAGUCCAUCUCACCCCUUGGAAGUUAUACUUUGACGGAUCUAAGACAAGCUCAGCCUCUAGGGCAGGGAUUGUUUUAAAAGAUCCCCUAGGAAUCAAACAUUGUUAUUCAUUCCAGCUAGAUUUCCAGUACACCAAUAACAAGGCAGAAUACGAAACUUUAAUCAUAUGCCUUGAAAUGCUGGUAGAAUUAGGAAUCUAGUCUAUGGAAAUUCUGGGAGAUUCUAUACUUGUAUUAAAACAGAUUGCUAGAUAGUACAAAUGUUUAAAUCCCUCUCUAGCUGUUUAUCUAGUGGCAACCAGUAACCUCUUGGCAGAAUUCAGGGAAGCUACUUGGGAACAUAUUCCAAGAUAGGAGAAUCUUGCAGCCAAUUAAAUGGCUCAGAUAGCAACAAGAGUACAAAUGCCCAAGGACUGUGUGCAAAGGAUCAUCAAGGUAGGAAAGAAGAGUCUACCAUCUGUUCUGACAAGAGGAAUGGAGAUGGAUGCCAAUUCUGCCAUAAUAACUGAAGAUGACUGGAGAUUGCCUAUAAUCAAUUAUCUGCUUCCCUCUGAAAAAAUAAUUAGAAUCAUAGCCUUAAACUACCUCAUGUGGAAUGGAGAUUUGGUCUGAAAGAGCAAAGAUGAGUUACUUUUGAGGUGCUUAGGGAAAAAAGAGUACAUGAAUGUCAUGGGAGAAGUCCAUGAAGGAAUCUGUGGAGCUCAUCCAGGUGGAAGAUGUGCUAGUUAGUUAGAAGGUAUGGAUACUUUUGGGCAACUAUGAUGAAAGACUGCAUUGAAUAUUCCAAAGGAUGUGAGGCUUGCCAAAGACAUGGACCAAUCCAGCAAGCUCCUUCAGUUCCCAUGAAACCAGUGGUUAAGCCAUGGCCAUUCAAAGGGUGGGCAAUGGAUCUCAUUGGCAAAAUCUAUCCAGCUAGUAGCAAACAACACUGUUUCAUUAUUGUAGCUACAGACUAUUUUCACCAAGUGGGUAAAGGCCAAGCCUGUCAAGAGAUCAUCACUUUCAUUAAAGAACAGAUUAUACAAAGGUUUGGCAUUCCAGAGUCAAUCACAACUAACAAGGGAUCUUCUUUCAUAUCUGGAGAAAUGAUAGAUAUGGCAGAAGCAUUCAAGUUCAAACUACUUCAAUCCACUCCUUACUAUGCUCAAGCUAAUGGAUAGGCAGAAUCAAGUAACAAGGUGAUCAUCAACAUUAUCAGGAAAAUGCUUGAGAAAAAUCCAAAGCAAUGGCAUGAGAAAUUAUCAGAAACUCUCUAGGCAUAUAGAACUUCAAAGAGGGAUGCAACUAGCAUGACCCCAUAUGCUCUAACCUCUGGAGAUAGCAGUAAUUGCUCAGCAACACAAUCUGAUUGGAGAAGACUACUCUCCAGCAAUGCUGCUAGAACUAGAAGGUUUGGAUACUAGCAGAAUUGAUACCCUCAACAAACUCUUAACAGGAAAACAGGUUGUAGCAAGAGCCUAUAACAAAAGAGUUAAAAACAAGAUUUUUAAAGAAGGAGAAAUAGUCUGGAAAGCAGUUCUGCUCCUCGAAACACACAUAACUGGUUAUGGAAAUUGGUCACCCACAUGGGAAGGUCCUUCCAUAAUUAAGCAAGUCCUUGGAUUAGGGGCAUACAGAUUACAGGAUCGAGAUGGAGACAUCCAUGCAGCACCAGUCAAUGGCAAAUGGUUGAAGAAAUUCUAUCCAACUAUGUGGGAUUCACAGACAAUGCAAACAGACCCCGGAAUUGAAAGGGAAAAGGAUGGAAUUGUUGUAUAAAUUCUUGAUCAAAGUUGUGCAUCGGUUUUAUUUCAGUUUGUUUUAUUUUUUGUUUUCUUUUACUCACUUAGAAGAAUUUGAAAACCCAAAGUACCACAAAAAUAAAUGGGAUUUUUCAUUCAAUAUAGUCAAUUUUCAUGACUAAGUUUUAUUACAUUCAAGUUUUUGAAAUAUAAAGUCCUAGUUUCCUAAGGGUUUCUUGAAAGCUGGUCUUUUUGGUGGAAAGUUCUUUCUGAAGCAACACCCCCUGGUAGAUUGAAGCCUCUGCAAUUUCCAGCACUGGCCUAGAACCUAAAACCAUGCUCUACACAAGAAAAGUGGCCUUAGUCUUGGAAUCCAGUCCAGCCCCAAGCUUGUUCUGCACCACCCUUCAUUCUGCCAGCUGUUUUUGUAGUUCUUCAAUUUGUUUCUCCAAUUUGCCUUGGCUUCUUUGUAGCCUACAACCAUAGUGUCCAGUUAUGCCUUCUGUUUUUCAUAAUCAUCCAAAUUGGCUACAUGAGUAGUCUUGCAGAACUCGGAGGCUUUGAAGGUGGGCUUGAGAUCCUCAUAGCGGUCAUGAAGGUUGAGCACAUCUCUUGCCAAGCCCAGGCUGAUCCCAAGUAUGGGCUUGGGAGCCAUGUUUUGUCUAUAUAGCUGGUCCAGAUCCUUCAUCAAUUGAUCAACAACUUCUUUGUUUUCAUCCAGGUCCAGCUCAGUUGAAUGCCAGAUUUUUACUCUUUCCACUGCCUCAUCCACAACCUUGGAUUUAGCCUUGCUAGGAGUAGAGUUGAGCUUCUCAAGUUUCUCCAGCUGAGCAUCUAAAUCCAUAGCUUCAAACUCUGCCAAUUCUGGAUCAGUAAAUGAGGUCGUGGUAGAUGAACCUGGAAGAGAAUGGAUAGGCAUCUGCAAAGGAAGAAUACAAGUCAGUUUCAGGCAGAAUCAAAAUAAAAGAAAGAGCUAAGGCACAGAAACACUUACGGCUACAAUACGAGGCUUGAGAGGACUAGUCAUCAUAGCCAUAGUCCCAGCAGUUCUGAUAUCUUCUACCUAAAAAUAGAAAUAUCAAUUAGACGAAGACAAGGCAGAACUGCAGAGACCAGACGGAGUUAAAAAUAGAACGGGAAAUUACCUCAAGACCAGGAACAUCAAGUUUUGCCCGCACCACGAACUCUGGAAACAUAGCAAGUUGUCCUGCCUGUUCCUCAAGCUCUUUAAAUGAUGCAGAAUGUUCUGCCUGCUCUAUUUCAGGCUCUGGAACAGUAGUGGAGUGCUCUGCCUCCAUGUCAUCAAAUAGGGCUAGUUCAGAGCUAGUCAGUUCUGCCCCUGAGUCUUCUGUUGUUUCUUCGCUAAGGCAAUGCUCUCUGCAAUCACCUCAGCAGGGAUCUUCUCCUAUAGAUAAGACAGAAGUCAGAACAGAAGAACAAAACCAAGACAGAACUAUUUAAAUAGUUAAAGAGAGGGACUCACCUCUUCGUCCACUUCUUUGGUUUUCUCUUGAGGUCCUUCCAUGACCUCUUUCUCUUGCUCAACAGCUUCGAAGGCCUCUCUCAAUUCUUCAUCAAUACCAGAGGUUGUUGUAGGAGCUUCUGCAAGAUCUGUGGCCACAUACUCCACCACAGUCCUCUUCCUAAGUCUCUUAGACCUAGUAGGAAGAUGAGAGGAGGACUUUCAGCUGCAAAGAACAGAAGAUCAAUGGUUACAACAUAAACUAAACUGGACAGAAUAGAAUCAGGAAAGUUCAAAUUCUCAAAAUCUACCUGAAGUCUCAGGCUAGACAGCACUGUCUUGAGCUGAAGCAGUUUAUUUUCUUUUGUUCCCUCUGCCAGAAGGAGUUGCUUAUACAGCUGGCGGUUCUGCCAGAACCUUAUGAUCACCCUCCUCAUCUCCAAAGGGAAGUUCUAAAUCUCCAGCGGCUAUGACAGAAGUGAUUGCACAGGAAACGAACAGUUAGAAGACAAUCCAGCAGAAAAAAUUAGAAAGGUAGAAUUCUGAAGCUUACCAAUCACUUCUCUAGUCUGAACUGCUUGCCCUCUAAUAUUCUUGAUCACAGAUGGAUCUGGCACAGACAAAACAAAAUGUUAGACUUCUUCAUUUGAACAGAAUAAAAUAGAUACAGGCAGAAUAAAGGGAAAACAAACAGAAGUGAAGACCUACAUUCAAUUACUUGCGCAUUGAUAUCCUUGAUAGUCUUCACCAUAAAAUCCUUGGCCUCCUCUGUUGCACGGAUGGUCCAAGAGUCCCAGCCACUUAAGAGCGUCUUCGCAGUCGUACUCGAGGCAAGCAGACCAUGGAAUCUGGCCUUCCACCAAGCAUUGAACUCGGGAGAACUGUAGGAAUUAGUCUCCCAUGAUGGAUAAAAAGCGUCCACACUGUUGUUUAUCUUGUUCCCCGAGCACCUACAGUCCUUGUGCACUUCCAACUCAUCUGAAUCUCUCCAAGAAGUGGCCCGAUUACAGCUUCUAUAUAAUUUGAUUAGAAUGAGCUGAGGGCAGCCAAGUUGUCUUGCGUAGAAGUUAGGGUGGUACACUUCUACCCCCAAGUGAUAGUUGGGAGGCUUUCCACUUCCAAAGGGCAGAUCCCUAGGCAGAGUCACGCUCAGGAACUUCUUCCUAAAAUCUAUUCUGGUUCCUUCUCAAACAGCCUAUAUCCAGGCUGGAACCAAGGGUAAGUCCUCCUAAUCACCACCUGCCACUGAGCAGCAGACCUCUUAGUGCAAUGCCUAAAGAACAUCAAAUAUUCUUCAAUCGACCGCUUAGGCACUUCUGUCGACAUCAAUGAAUGAGCCAGAACCUGAUCUUCAAGCAGAACUAUGUCUGGAAACCUCAAUUCUGGGAAACAAACUUGCAGCCAGAUCUGGAUCAUCCAGAAUGCACCAGGAGCAAACAGGUUCAUGGGAUUUUCCAACGUGGUCGUAUGCAAAUUCUUGAACAAAUGAGCUAGAACUAUAGGUCCAAGCCCUACAUCUGUGUGAUUAUGCAAUGCUUCUGCUAGGUGUUUGUAUUUGAGCAGAACUAUUGAAGAGCGAUUAGGGAAGACAAAUCUAUUCAGCCAAUACAGAAGGAACAUCACGUGCUUCUGAUCCCUAUCCUUCUCAGCACUAAACUUCCUCAAAUAAUUGGAGAAGGAGCAGUUCUGGUUGAUUGUGGCUGGAGAGAUAGUGAAUGGCUUGGCCAGUUUUUCUUGGUUCUUCCUUCUAUGAUAGUCACCAACUGCAUCCACAGGUCUUUCAUGGGGUCUGAACCCAAAAAUCUGCUCCAUAUCCAGCAGAGUUGGAGUUAUAGGGCCUACACGAAAAUCGAUCGUGUUGCUGGCAGAAUUCCAGAAGCGUAGGGCAGCAGCCAGAAGAUUCUCAUCUCUGUUUACGGACUGCUUGGACAGAAAGAUUGUGUCAUAAAGUCCAACUCUCUUCCAGUGAGCUCCAUACCUUGGAAAAAGCCUGUCAAUCCAGUCUGCCCACUUCACUACACUAUUUCUGACUUCACUAGAGGGAAAUGAGCAGCUUAAAUUCUUGCUGACCCAGGUGUGAGAAGCUAGGGCAAAAGAGGUCUGAAAGCAUAGAGGAGCUUCAACAUCUUCUUUAAUUAAUUCUGCCAUUUCAGCAGCGACAGAACCGAACCAAUGAGGCCCUAGAACAAGAGUGUUCUCAAACAAAUGUAACACGUUCCCAUCCAGAACAUUCUGGGCAAAAGGAUGAAGCUUGCUACGGACUUCAAUCGCAUGCUUAUCAACACCUAUGCCAGUAAUGAAGGCAGGAGGAACAGAAGAAGAGGAAGAAGCAGCGCGAGUUUUUGGGGAGGCCAUUUUUAGUUUUAAAAUUGGAAUAGAAGGAAUCGAAUCAGAAGAAAUCAAGGUUGGGUCACAGAAAAAGGCAAAAGAUUCUGAGGAUUUUAAAAGAAAUCAGAGUCUGAAAGAGUUAGGUUUUCAGAUGAACAGGAGCUGAGGGUUUGAAUUUCUUUUAAAGGCUCAGAAUCGUGGGAAGAAGAAGGCAAGACGUCAUCUGAUCACGGCUAGUUAGUACCUAGCUAAUAACUACCCAUUUUCCCACGAAGUCUAGUUCAAUAGACAAGAUGUGGCAGACGUGGGUUAAUUAAAGCGGAAGAGAGUGGCGUGCAACAUUAAUGGCCAAUUGAAUCAAAUCUGAACCGUUAAAAAUUGGAACCGUUGUCCAAAACAUUUCAGAUUCAAUGGGGCAUUGUUUGGGCCAAAAUUCUGCAUGCCUAGCCUAGUGCUGGAGGCCUAGAACGACAAAAGCAAUCUCAAGAUCCAAGCAGUUUGAACUUUUCGUUUAAUUGGAAUCAAGAGCCCCAAAUCAAGAAAGCUCAGCCCAGGAUUUGUCAGCCCAUGAGAAUAAACUUGGGCUUUCGAAAUAGAGAAAAGUAAUCAGCCCAAGCCCAAGUUAGAUUUUUUAGGCUACCAAAUAGACCAAAGAUUGGAAGAAGGCCGAGUGCAUGUGAUUUGCUCAGCCCACAGUCCCAAAACUGAACCUAGGCUUGGCGUGAUUGAGUGAAGAUAAAGAACAUCCCAAAAUUGAAGAAACCCAAAUCAGUUUUAUCAAAACUGCUAGUUCUUUACCCAAAACAUUAGAUAUCCAAAAUUGACGAGCUCAGCCUUGGAUCAGAAAGAAGCCCAAUCUGGAAAUUUUCUAAAAAACUCACCAGUGAUCUCAAUCCCAGAGUGCAAGACAGCAGAUUUUGUGGAAAGAUUUUUUCGCAAAAAAACCACGUGACUACCUGACUUUGAAAAAGUCAAAAAUUUCAACUAUCACAAAGGAGUUGACAAGAAAUUAAUGAAGGGCAGGUCUUACAGGAAGACUUCUCCAGUCUUUACAGUAAAAAAAAAAGAUCGAAAUCCCUUUCUAUAUACAAAGAAAAUUUUGCUCCAGAGCAGGUGCCAUUUCCAAGGGAUAAGCAGACUACAUUUUUCUAAAGAAAUAAGUAGGGACUAGAGAGUUGUUCAUCAGGAAAAUCAAACUAACCAUCAUGACAGUUUUUGCAUUCUUACAAGGGUCAGUUAAAAGAUUAAAAGGGAUUAGGUUUUCUUUCAGAAAAAGUACGAAAGUGAUCACCAUAAGAACUGACUAUUGAUAGUUCUUUGAUAGAAUAGAUAAAAUUCGCCUUUUUCUUUGAUAUUUAAAAUAAAAGAUCUUAUUUUUAGAAAAUCUGCCGCCCAUUAUUAAAAGAUUAGAAAACCCACUCCAGCAUUUUUUCUAUAAAUAUGAGAGGAGGUGAAAGACGGCCAAAAAAAUCAAUAAAAAAACCAAACACUCAAAAUGAUCACUUGAUCUCAAAAACCUUCAAAAUAUUGAAGCAACCAAAGCUCAUUGAGCCACAAGAAACAAGUCAACUAUAAUUCAGAAUUUCUAACUUCAGUUCAGUUUCAGAGAAAUAGUCAUACAAAGCGAGAUUUCUCUCGUUACAAAUUUGGUUCAACAUAAGCCAAAUCAAGCAGAGUUCGGGUUUUUACGAAUAUGAAAACCUCAACAAAUUUAUAGAGAGCCCUGAUCAAGCAGAACAGGUACCAUAGUGCAGUUCCAGCUCAGUAAUCAUCAAAUCCAGCCACUUCUGCAAAUUCCAGACUGAAGAGGUUCCAAUUCUGCCCGUUCAAAAAGCCUUCCAGAGCUCGAAAUAUAUUAAAGCUCUACCAAACUCGAAUAUUAGUAUCGAUUUACAGCUGAAACUUGACAGUUGAAGAUGUUGACGAGCCAAUCCAACACAGAAACAUCCAAUCCAGCCAGGUCCAGAGGCAGUUAUCCAGGCAGAAAUCGAAGUCCAACAUACUAUUGUUUUGUUUCAAAGUUGACAUUUCAUUUUUGAGUCCUGUAAAUAGUCAGUUCUGCCUGAAACAAUUUACUUUCUUCUUGUCCAUUCUGGCCAGAACUACCCCUUUUGUACUGUGAAAAAUUAUGAAGUCCUACUUGGGAGAUAUUCCCUACCCAAAUUCACAAUCGUUUGUUUAGAAUCAGUAACUUGGGGCGCAAGUUAUCUAUUUUCAAAGUCUGCUAGGGUUUUUUACUGCUAGCAGUGGCACGCUCACACACAAAAGGAGAGUUGGCUUGUUGACCAGUCAAUGAUUUUCGGGUGAACACAAAUAUGCAAAUGGAUGUGCCUACAAGGUGGAAUGCAACCUACAAAAUGCUUGAAGGUGUAUUCAAGUAUAUGCAAGUCCUUAAGAGGAUGUCUUAUAGUUGUGAAGUGUUUCAAGCUUACUUUCUAGAGGAAGAGAAGCUUAAGAAAGUGAUGGUUAAGAGAGUGGGACCUCCAAAUGAUGAUGAUUGGGAGAAGACAUUAGCUUUUGUGCAUUUUCUCAAAAAGUUUUAUGAUGUUACAUUGAAGCUGAGUGCAACCAAAACUUGUACAUCCACAAUAAUUUUCCUAGAAUUGGUUGGGUUACAAGUUCUAAUAGAAAAAAAAAUGAAGGAUCCUAGAAAUCCUACUAUGCAACGGGUGGCAUAUUCAAUGAAGUUGAAAUUUGACAAAUAUUAGAGCAGCUUUGAUGUUGUGAAUAAGCUUAUAUUGUUGGGCAAUGUGCUAGACCCAAGGAUGAAGCUUCAAAUGCUCUAAAUAAGCUUUGGCAAUCUUGGGGCGGAUGCUAAAAAGCAAGAUUAGAUUGUUAAUGAGGUUGUAAAGUGUUUGAAUGAUUUGUAUAAUGAGUAUAAAUGAGUUGAGGUGAUGUUGUGAGCCAAAUUGAUGAGGAUGCGGUUGCACAAGUUGGUAAGGAUGUGGAUGCCACAUUUCAACAAAUGCAACAACUUGUGCAAAAAAGGAAGGAUGAGCAAUCCAUUGAGAUAUCCAAUGAAGUGGCGGAAUUCCAGAGAGCCCUUUGAGCAAACAAUUCAAUUUCUUGAAUUGGCGGAAAGGGAACGAAACAAGAUAUCCAAUUCUUUCACAAGUUGCCAAGGAUAUCUUUGCAAUUCCAAGUUCUAUGGUUGCUAGUGAAAGUGCUUUUAGCCUAGGCAAGAGGAUUGUGGAUCCUUUUAGAAGCUCAUUGCAUUCUAAAAUGAUAGAGUUAUUAGUGUGUACUUGCGAUUUGCUUAGGGUGGACGAAUUUUCAUUUUACAGGGAACCCAAUGAUGAUGAGAUUGAAUUCUACAAGGAAAUAGAACAUGUUACAACCUGUAAGUAAUUAGUUUAUUAUUUUCAUGUUCUUUAUGCUUCUUAUAAUAUUUUUUUUUUACUAAACUUGUGUUGUUUUAUUUGUAGAUGGUGGCCAUUCACAACCGAGUUCUUCAAAUCCACUCACCACCAACACUUAAGUUCUCUAUGUUUUGUAACUUUAAUAAAAUUUGCAUUGCAUUUUUCUUUUAGAUUGUAACUUUAAUUAAAUUUGCAUUGCGUUUUUUGUUUGGAUUGUAACUUUAAUUAAAUUUGCAUUGCAUUUUUCUUUUGGGUUGUAAUUAAAUUUUAACUUUAUUUGCUCGAG
rnacentral:lncRNA from 1 species